UAUGAGAAACUUUACUUCUGUGCCUUAGAU
rnacentral:piRNA from 1 species